GUCUCUUUCUUUCAUCGUCUUCUUUGUUCUUCGUUUCUCUUUCUUUUUGCUGGACGAUCUCCUUCCUCCUCUUUCGUUUUUCUCUCUGUAAGGUAAAAUUUGCUCUCCGUUCUUUAAUAGUUCUUUCCUGUGAUUGCCUGCUGUCCACCGCUUCUUAUUCUCUUCCUGUUAAAAAUCCCUAAAACCAUCCCACCGCCAUAGACUCUAUUCCCGAUUUUCCUCACCGACUCCAUCCAUCUCUCGAUUCUUCUUCUCUAUUUUCAAUUCCAUCCAGCCAACGAUAUAGUCACAGGUCGGCCACGAAUGGAUCGACAACUCCUUCCAUCAUCUUCACGAGCUCAAUCUACGCAAGUGGAAGUUACAUAUCGGCACUCCUGUUGUCUCCGCACUUCGCAUCGCCACCUCCAGUCAUCUCCACCGCAGGUAUGUUUUCUUUUCGGUUUUUGCUGAUAACAGAGAUGAAGCAACCGAUCAUAUCGUUUUCUAGACAACGCCGUCGAUUCUUUUUCACCCAUAGAAGACACAGACGAGUCCUUCUCUUCCACAACAGACAUUCAAUAAAACCCUCAUCCCCGCUGACCCUGCUUCUAUUCCGUUUUUCUUCCAUUUUGUUCGAUUUUAUCCAGGAUUGAGUGAAGAUGAUCAAACAACAGUUGGUAAACCUGGUAUAGUAAGUUAUGGCUAUGGACAACCGUUUCACUUCCGUCAAGCAAUUCUGUCCACUAGGUGGUCGAUGUAAGUCCAAAGUGUGAUUAAAAUCUAACAAUUAUUAUUAUAUUUCUUUCAUAUCUGAAACAUGUUGAUUUACAAACAAGUCAAAUGAAUGGCCACCGGUUUUCAGGGGAAGAUUCUAUUUCUAUUUCUAUUUCUUUUUCUUUCUCCACUGUAUCAAACCAACACUUCACUUUCUUUUGAACAAACGAUUUGAUUUUUGUGGUUCUCCUUUAUAGAACCUCUCAAGGUCCUUCUAUGGAAGUCGUCCCUCGUCACUGAGAUGAUAAGGGCAUAUUGGUCUAUCUACUUCAUGAAGUGCAUCCGUUUGUCAAUCCUACUCACCAAAAACAAAAUCAAAAUGUAUGAAGCCAUACAAGAGGAGACAUAAGAACAAAAGCUCACUCAUGUCUUCUUUUAUCCAUAUGUUAAAUGGUUUUUGCAAUGCUUCACUAUCAGUCAUUUACUUCCAAAUGCUUUUAAUGUACCAACAACAUUUUGCAGAUGUUCUAAUAUUAUCAACAUUUAUCUUCAAA